rnacentral:lncRNA from 1 species
AGCAUGAGUCAUCUCGUUCCAAUGAGAAUGAAGGCUGAGGUGUGCGCCUUUUUUUUUUUUCCUUCUUAGUCGUGUGUACAUCAUUGGGAAUGGAGGGAAAUAAAUGACUGGAUGGUCGCUGCUUUUUAAGUUUCAAAUUGACAUUCCAGACAAGCGGUGCCUGAGCCCGUGCCUGUCUUCAGAUCUUCACAGCACAGUUCCUGGGAAGGUGGAGCCACCAGCCUCUCCCUGACAAGCAAAGUGGAUCAGCAAAGGCUGCAGUCACCAGCAUCUUUUCCAACCUUAAUGAACUGUAUCCUCAAAAGAACACUAUCAGACUGGCUCUGCCGACUUCCAGUUCUGGAACAAGAUGGUUAAACUCAUUUUUCCCUGCUCUGCUCCUCUAAAUACAACUAAGUACCUUGGAAACUAUUCAGCAGACAAUGAUAAAGGGCUCUGAAAGCUAGAAGAAAAGGUGUACUUGCAAGAAACCUCAGGACUUGAGUAACAGCAACAUGGCAGGCCAGAAAGCAGACCCAGGGAGGAUAGCACAUGUCUUCGGCUACACUGGUGAAGGCAUCGUGCCUGCUCCACAGCACAUUUUUAUUCAAGUCUUGGACGAGCCUGAGGAUGUCUACAAGUGGAAGAAAAGAAGCCACUGGAGCAGAAGGUGGGGAGGAUAAAAUUUGGAGCAAGAUUCUCAAGGAAGCAACAAGAUCCUAAGGAAAGGAGAAAGAGACUACCUACUGCAUUUCUGUCACUCGCUGAAAAGGACACUCUGUCAGAAAAUCUUCUAGCAAACUUCAAAGGGCAAAAUCACCCCUUGUUACUGAUAAAGCCCAGAGAGCUUCAGCAGCUAACAUUCCCUGGACAGGGCACAGCAAGGAUUUGAACCUAGGUCAGUCUGGCCAGAACACCCACAAGCUUUCCUUAACUCAGUGUGCUAUCUCCCCACGACUAGGUCACUACUGCUUUAUAAUCACCUUUGUAGCCACCAGUGGAUUUUGCUCAUCAGUAUUUUUCAGGCAAUUGAUACUUUAGAUAUUCAGCUGCAAGACGUAUGCAGUUUUCAUUGACAUCUUUUGGAGAAACUGACAAACCUGGACUUGACUUAAUGCCUUUGGAACCUUCCAAGAUGUUAUAUAACUCUAGAUAGAAGGCUGGGCCUCCAUGAUGUCAGGAAUGUUGCAUUCUUAUUUCCCCAUAGAUAAACCCAUUUGUCCACAAAGUCAAGGAGUCAGGCAGAGGCCCUUGCCAUGGGGCUUUUUAGGAUAAAGCAACAAGCCUGGACUUUGCUCUACAACAGGGUUUUGCAUAGGGAGUGGUAUGACCAGAUCCCUCAAGAAAGAAAGCUUAGAGACCAGGCCAGAGUCCACUGCAGUAGCCCAGUCAAGAGAGGAUGGUGACUUGGACUUGUAGUAGAGCCAGUUAGAAUGAAAGAAAUUGACACAUUCAGAAAUGGUUUUAGAGAUAGAGUCAAACUGGACCUGAUAAAGAACUAGAGAAGCGGAGUGAGGAUAAAGAGAAGAGCCAUGACUGACUCGGAAGAUUUUGUCUUGAAAAACUUGAGAACUCAAGACAGAGUGAAAUAAAAUCACAUGUGG